GGUUACACCUACCAUGGUUUCUUAAGAUGGAUUCACUGGGCUUCCUCUAGCUCUCGUUACAAACUCCCAUAAGUUUUUAAGGCAAAACUUCUUUUCAGCUUUGGAAAAAUGACAGCAAGUGAUCCACUGUCCAGUAUUUAUUCCUUAAGGUUGUGCCUAAAGGCCACAGAAGGAACAUCAGCUUCCCGACUGCUUCGAGCACUUGUCUGGAUUUAGCAAUUCAGGUGACUAGUCAGUGCCUCUCCUGAUUCGCUCCCCCAUCCCUCUGAGGGAGAGCAAGCGAAUGGCUCUUAACCUGCAGUUAAACCACACCAACAGCAAUACUUUAUUUGCACUGAACUGCCUUACAGCUCAUUCAUACUCCCUCUAUAACCAAGCGGAGCUGACUACUUGCAGAGGUCUCAUAUCAUGCUAUCACUACUGAUUUUCUUUUCUGUUGACUUUCUUCGAAAGUCAGGCUUCCCACACCUCUCAUGUCCAUGAACUUCUACGUGGAGGUCAGGGAAGCAGAAUAUCUCCCGCUGUAAGAGCAAAGCAAGUCCAAGACUGUCUCAUGUAGCUGAAAGUGCACAAGUCUACGGGGCCAGAUGACAUGCUGAAGUGAUUGCAAUGCCACUCUCCAUCAUAUUUGAAAGGUCAUGGCUGUCAGGUGAAGUCCCUGGUGACUGGAAAAAGGGAAACAUCACUUCAAUUUUCAAGAAAAGGAGAAAAGAAGACCUGGGAAACUAUAGGCUGGUCAGCCUCAUGUCUGUGCCUGGAAAGAUCAUGGAACGUAUCCUCCUGGAAGAGAUGUUAAGGCAUCUGUGAGAUGAGGAGGUGAUCUGAGAUAGCCAGCAUGGCUUCACCAAGGGCAGACUGUAAAUGAAC
ensembl:lncRNA